rnacentral:rRNA from 1 species
AGCGAACGCUGGCGGCAGGCCUAACACAUGCAAGUCGAGCGCCCAGCAAUGGGAGCGGCAGACGGGAUAGUAACACGUGGGAACGUACCUUUCAGUUCGGAACAACCCAGGGAAACUUGGGCUAAUACCGAAUACGUCCGUAAGGAGAAAGAUUUAUCGCUGAAAGAUCGGACCCCGCGUCUGAUUAGCUAGUUGGUGAGGUAAUGGCUCACCAAAGGCGACGAUCAGUAGCGGUCUGAGAGGAUGAUCAGCAUCACUGGGACUGAGACACGGCCCAGACUCCUACGGGAGGCAGCAGUGGGGAAUAUUGGACAAUGGGCGCAAGCCUGAUCCAGCCAUGCCGCGUGGA